rnacentral:tRNA from 1 species
GCCCCUUUAGCUCAGUGGAUUAGAGCGUCUUGCCACGAACGAGAAGGUCAGAGGUUCUAAUCCUCCAAGGGCUCCA